GGAAUCCCCUGGCAUGGACUAGGACCCCGCUGUCCUAGGUGCUGUACAAACCCAGAACAAAAGGCAGUCCCUGCCCUGAAGAGCUAGAGAAGCAGAUGGCAGUAACACCAAGAUCUGGGCCGACUACAUAGUAAGAGUGAGCGCCUGCCUCGAAGAGCUUACAUUCUAAACAGACAUGGGAAGAAAGAAAUAUUGUGAUCCUCAUUAUACAGAUGGAGAGGCUGAGGUGCAGAGAGAUUAAUGACUUGCCCAGGGUUACAGAGGAAAUCUGCGGCAAAGCCAGGAAAUGAAUCCAGGUCUGCUGAGCCGCAGUCCAGUGCCUAAGCCACAAGACCGUCCUUCCACUGGAAGUCACAUUACUGUUAGGAUUUUGCUAAUUAUUCUCUCAGGCCUUUCUUCUUCUGUGAUAGCCUUGGGUUUGGCAGCACAGGUCAUAGUUCCCCUUGGUUCUAUUAUUUUCUUGCCAUCUUUCCUUCUUUCCAUCAGUCCUGAAACUCUUCCUUAGUUUUUAUUCUGUCCUCACUUAAGCGGACACCUUCUGAAGUCAAAGGGAGUAGUGCGUGAGUACAGAAUUGAAGAUUUGGCCCAGUGACUAGAACUGGGACUUUCUAGAAUUGAAUGUGUCUGCGAAAUCCUUCUGUCCUGUGGUUCUUUAGCUCCCUUCUCAGUAUUUGUGGUAAGGAUUUGUGCAAUUUUGACGUGUGUAAUAACCAUCUAAUCAUCAUGACCAGGGCAGUGUCUCCAUUCCACACCCAAUCCCCUUUUCUCUGGGCUCAUUUUCUUAACUAUCACUUUCGUAUCUAGAGCUCUGAUGCUCUCCAAGUCAAACACACACCACUUCGCGGAGCAUCCCUGUGUUGCUCUCUCCUGCUUCUUGUUCCCGUUCUUGCAAGGGUGACACCUUUGCUGAGAAUGGGCAGGGGGAAAGGCUGUAGGGUGAAGGGAUAUUUUUGGGAUGAAGUUGUAAAGUGCCCCCUUGUUCAGGCUUUUCCUCCGUCCAGCACUUACUUGUCCCCUCUUGCUUCCGACUACUGUCUGCCCCACUGCGCUGCUGCUCCCUCUCACAGGGACUUGGCCUAAAGAUAGUGUUAAUAAGUACAGUGUUUGGUGCAGGAUGAUGGUGUUAACAGCACAGUGACAGAGGAGGGAGAAGAGACUAUAGCAGACUCCUAUUGUCCUAAGUUAACAAUAACCUCACAGGCCUGGUGAGGGGGCCUCAGGGGCCAUUGAGGCAGUCAUGUUACUACCCACCACCCCUUCGCAAACAGCGGUUGCUAUAAGAACUGCAAUUAGCAGCCAUUUGUUAUUAACCAAGAGAAAGAUGCAUUCCUGGCCGUAUCGCAAAGAAUUGGCUGGGAAUCCUGGGCUAGAUCUGCAUUUCUGGCCAAGUUUCGAUGGACUGCAAGGCAGCCAGCCCUGCCUCGUACUGUAAUAGUGUGUUUCUUUCCAGAUCUUACUCUCUAGAGGGAGCAGCAGGGAGCGCUGUCUGCUCACACAUCCUGGAACUCUCCAACUGACUGCAUUAGAGGUAGCAAAGUACUGAAGAGGGAGCUGAGUAAUAGAAAUAGAAGGUGCCCUCUGGAGCUUGUUUGUGUGACUGAAUUAACUGGCCUCCCCUGAGCUCUUGCCAACCUCCACCCCCCACUCGGGUUUUCAGGGUUGCACCUUUAUGGGAAGGCUAUUUUUGAAAACUGCCCCACCCCUCUCUCUGCCCCAGGUCCCGUAAUAAGAGAAUAAGGAGGCACUUUGUGAAAUGAAUGGCUGGUAAAUUUAGAUCAAAUAAAAGGAAAUCCUUCCUCACACAGCAUGUGCAGCCACCCUGAUGGAAAGCACCGUUGGGAGCAGGUCAUCCAGGACCAGCACUGAGGCUGCAUUGUAGUAAGGCCUGGGUGGCUGGUUCUGACCUGUAAUAUAACAGAGUAGUUAUGUGGGCUAAGAUAGUAAAGGCAAUUCAGGCUCCUGAUUCAAACAUACACUGAUCACUGGCAGGGUGGGGGGAGGGCAGGAAGGAACACCCCACCUUCUCCAAUGUGCAGCACUAUACAAAUGGCUACAUUAGUGAGGAGGAGGGGGACCCACACUCUUAAAAUGGGCCGGCAAGCUGGUGUUAGAGCUGGGGGAGGCCGUGGAGGCACUCUGAGGUGCAAACUGAGUACAUGCCUUGAUUUUUGUUACUGCCCAGGUAAUUAGUGUAUCGGGGGAACCCCCCUAAGCAAAGCAUCCCGAUUGCAAAUUACCACAGCUCUCAGCAUUUCUUCAUCCACUUCGCAGCUAAGGCAAUAGCUGAAGCAUGUGGCAGCUUUUCACACCGCUCUCUUGCCCACCCUCCUGUCCUGCACACGUGGAGACUGGGACACAGGACGCCCUGGAUGUUACCAUAUCAGGGACUGUUGUGCACGUUUCCAGGCUGCUGAAUACCUGACUGGUAUCUAUAGAGAACAUUCCCUUCCCAGCGAGACAGGGGCCGUGAGUUGUGCUCAGGCAGGCAGGCCAUGGACUCCCCUCCCGCCUCCCCCACAGAAGAAUAUGAGUGUGUAAAUGUUUCCUGCCCGGUUGUUUAGCCCUUGCACACGUUAGUGAGCACUUCCCCACGUGACAUGUCCCCCUGAAGUCAGUGGAGUUGCUGGUGGCUGUAAGAGCUCAUCACUGUAAGGAUCCUUAAACAUUUUUGCGCCAGAUUCUCAACCGGCAUAAAUCACUGUAGCUCCAUGGACUUCAAUGGAGCUGGGCUGAUUGACCCAGCUAAAGAUGUGAUGUGGGUGUGGCACAGCCAUUGUGCAAACACCGUUCAGGUAAUAACCUGCCUGGGACUUCUCAGCAGGCCAGGAUUUGCAGGUUUGCCAAUGAUAACAGCAAAGAUAAGAUACAAGAACCCUGCACUCAGUUAGGCUCCCCCUCCUUCUGUUAUCAUCCUCUUGAAAGGUGCUUUGUACUGUGUGCUUAUCCUUGCAACAAGGCAUUGAGCAGGUAUAAACAGCCGUCCUACACACACUCGCAUGCCUCUCCUCCAACAGCCCUUAUCCUAAGCAACCUCUGUGCUUCAUUUCAUACACUAACUCUCCAUGCUACAGCUUAACCCCCAGCCCCAUAUCAAACUCCACCAGAACAGCUGGAGAGCGAACAACCAAAGUAAGCCCAGGUUAGCAGUGGCUGAAACUACCAGCUCCUGGUGGUUUGGUGGCCUCCAUGAAAUGAAUUGGGGGUUUCAUGGAAGCCACCAGCUAACUGGCACCCGGGUUGCAGAGCCAGCACUAGGCAUAAGCAGACUAAGCAAUUGCUUAGGGCCCCGAGCAGCUCAAGGGGGGCCCCCUAUUCGCUUUUCAUUAUGUGUUGCGUGGGGGGAGGGGAUAUUCCUGCUUAGGGCUCCCAAUGGGCUAGUACUGCCUCUGCUGGGUUGACAGUUUCAGCAGAGAGGGCCAGGCCUGUAUGGAAGUUGAACUCCCCUUCAGCCUCUAAACAAGGUGUCUCCAGCGCAGGGUUGAAGUACACUGAUGGGGCAGUGUGGGAGAAGCUUGCACAGUCGAUGUCCACACUCUGUCAGUACUGUGAAUGAACACCCCAAGGCUGUUGGUCCCACAUCUUUCACUCACCCCAAAAAGGGAGUCAAGAGAGAGAAAAACUCUCUGGGUGUUUAUGAGAGCCAUAUUGGACAGUGCUGGUCAUGCUGAUGUCAGGAUGAGAUGCCUGAUUGCAUAUGUACAUUCCAUCAUUGUGCCAGUGUAAUGCACUGGAUGGGUGCGUGUGAUCAUGUCUCCCUCUAGCCAUUGGAUAUAGCGAGGCUAAGGGCAUGCUGCUUUCUGACAGCUAACUCUUACUCCUUUAGUGCAAGUGAUAAGGGCUUGUCAGUGCUUCUGGUACAGCAGUGUGGUGUCUGUGUGUGUAUGUAGUAAAACACAGGGGGCCAGACCCUCCCAAAGAACUCAAUGGAGGCGUGCCAAUUGACUCCAGGUGAGAAUCUGGCCCAGAGUGGGAAAGGUUUCUGAAGCAGAGCCAGUUAGGAAGAGAAAAGAAGUGCAAGGCCAUGAGAGAAGACCAGGCUCUGGAUGUGCAAACCAGGAAAAAUAAAGGGGAAACGCUAGCUGAGUGAAUCCAUUGACCAAUGGAAGAAACUAAUAACAAAGGAUAUGGACAGAGAAAUUAGUUUCUCUCCAAGGGAGAUGGGUGGCAGACUCCAUCCACAGGACCAGCAUCUGGGACAGAAGAGAAGAUCUAAAGUGAAUUGUGACCACACCCCCAAAUGUGCUGUAUCAGGUAAGAUAAUGUAAAGAUCCUGGGAUGAGUGGAGCACACCAUAUAGCCCAGAUAGAUACCAAAGAAGUUCUAGCCCAGCAGCAGGAAUCUCCCCUGGCAGAGAGGGGAGGUACCAGAGAAGAAGAGGGAAGGGACGGAAGAAGAAAAGCAUCAUUGCCAGAAUGAUGUUUAAAAAAGGCAAUGCAGGUGAAAAGAGAAUGUAAGUGCAAAGGUGCUGGGUGUGUUGGGAAAGGGGAGAUUGUGGAAUGUUCAGAGGUGUGAUAGCAGAAUGUGUAAAUGUACCUGAGAUAGCCUCAAUCUAGCUAUAGAGCAGUGAAGCUGUGGCCGCACAGACUUCAGUGUGGGCUAGUUGCCCAAAUAACUACCCACGGUCCCACGUAGGCAUAUGCAGUUCAUGCUGAAACCUGUGUUACUGCCACCUCCCUAAUCCAGGACUCAAGCUAGCUGGAUUAAAGCUAGAUCUAGUACAUCUGUAUGUGCUUCCAUCACACACCCUGAUUGCAGUGUAGACAUACCCCAGAAAAGAACUAAGCUAAUAUGGUUCUUAACCAGCAAAUAUAUUGGGUCAAACCCUACUCUUGUUCACACUGGUGUAAAUCUGGAGUCUCUCCCUUUGAACUGGGCCUGUUGCCUGGUAUUAGUGAAUAUUGCCACCAAUUAGUUUACUGGACUGCAAGUUUAUGAUGUUCUUAAGUGAUAUCAUCACAGCCAAUAUAGAACAUGCUGAAAAACGCUUGGUUGUCCUGAUCCACAGUUUCAAUGACUUUCAAACGGACUCACAGAGGGGAUAAAUAUGGGGAAGCAGGUAUCAACACAAACCGUACCAGAAUAACAGACACCACAUCAACUUCCUGCCAUGUAAGCUGUAUAGUUCCCUCAGUAAAAACUCUCCCCUUGGCUUCAAUGAAGCCAGUUUCAUAAAUCCUUUCCUUGUGCAAUGCCAUUGGAUUGUGAGGUUAAACUGGAUGGCAUUGGAGGUGUUUUCAGUCAAAGGUCCUUAACUCUGAAAUUUACACCCCUGCAGUGGUCCAACAGCACCCAGGGUCUGUUGUGAUAAUUGAGCCUAUAGCUUUACCUUCAUUGUGAGUUUAACUGUAAGCAGUGAGUGAAAGUUUAUAAGAUGUAACAAUAACUUUUAGCAACAAAUGUUAAUGGGAAAAGGUAUGAGAGGGAGACAGAAACUGAGUUAGUCCAAACAAAAAGGCCUCCUGAUAGAACUCAAGGACUGUGUUAAAUGUGGAACUAGAAAUCAGUGAACCAAAAUUGGUGUGUCGGAAACUAGGCCUAAUUGGUGGACAAAAUAAUGAGGGGAUGGGCUAUUCUGCCCACCACUCCCCUUUUGGGGGUCCUUAAACGAAGACUUGGGGGAGAAAAAUUAACAACUGGAGUGAGCUUCACCAUCAUGGCUGCCACCCCAACUGUCUCAUAGGACCACAGACCUUCUUCAUCCUAAUCGUGAGAGAUGUCCUGAGCAGCCCAGGUCAGAGAGAGGCACCCAGAUGACACCACCUGUACCAGCUCCAGCUGAAUCCCAAACCCCACCUCGGAUGAAACGGGACUGGACUUUAACCGCAGCAGCAGCAAUAACAGCUCCAGCAUUUCUUAGCUAACUUUUCUUUUCCCCAUAGGAUAGUUAUUGCCGUCUUUGUUAUCAUCUAAGAGACUGUGAGACACGGGGGCUUUGCCUUCUAAAAACUCUCUCCAGCUCAAGGGAAAGGGAACAAGGGUUGUUGUUGUUAAAAUGAAAGCCUCACUUAAUACUUUACCUGUUAAAUGCUUUAACUGUUUUCCCGUCUUUUCUUUACCUUUAAUAAGAGGUUAAAAUAAUUUGUAGAAGUGUGUUUGCCACGGACCGUGCUAAGCAAUAUGAGGUCUCUAUAGACCAAACCCCAAAGUUAUUUAACGCUGUUUAAUGUUGGACAGUGACUGUUCUAUGUUAACACCUUUGGCCCAAGUACUCCAUGUAAAUUAAUAUAAAAUGUUUGUGUUCCCAAUGUGGGGCCCAAAGUGUUAAAUACAUACUCAGACACUGGCACCUUGGCAAACAAGCAAUUGUUUCCAAAGUUAGUUUAAAACAAAAGUUUGUUUUAAAAUUCUUAAAUGUGUUGAGUUUGUUUGAGAUGAACAUGCAAAACAAACUGUUAACAUUUUUGCUUGAAAAAAAGAGAGGGCUAACGAUUGUUUUAUAGUGAUUUUUAAAAAAAAUCUUGUAAAAUGCUUUGGUUCAUUUUUUUCCCUUGUGUUUUGAGAUUUGUAGUUUCUGUGAUUGGCAAUUUUUAAGAAAAAGUAAAAGUAAUAAUGAGUUGUUUAAAAUUGUUGAAGGUUAAGUGGCUAAAGCAGACUUCCUGAAAUAACAUCUUGGGUAAUUCUCUUCUUAAUAAAAUGCCAGCUUUAUUCCAGGCUACUAUUGCAUUAACUGUGAAUUAAAUCUCAAACCACCGGAACCAAGGGUUCUUGCAGCACCAAACUUGUUGUGAUUGUUUUGGUUUUGCAAUGUUUUUUUCCUUGAUGCUUUUGUGCUUUAGCAAAGGGUUCCCUCCCACCCCCCCACUUUUGUUUUUUAUGUCAAUGAUUUCUGUUACCGUUCUCUGCACAUGAGACAGCAGCACAGUGCAAGUUGCCAAGAUGGCCAUGUUGUCCUCACAAAUGGUGGUGGUAAAACGUAUGCGCAAGAUCUAUCAUAGAUUAAAAAGGCCUGUGAAUUUUUACCAGCAUUGCUCAUGGAUGCAAAAGUGGUUCCAAGAGAACAUUGUUUUGUUGCUUCUUUUUAAAAGAGGCAACACACGUGGUUAAAAAUGCCCUCAGGGCUAAAGUUUUUCUCCAAGUGAGCAAGCUUAACCUCCAGUGCAUAAAAUCUUCCUGGGUUAUGUAAAUGUACAGCCUGUACUGUGUAAGCAGCAAAAGGGGUGCGGGGAAGGAGCUCUUUCCAUUGUUACCCACCCUGGGCGUACAGCCAAAGAAGUGAGAAGAGCUGGUUUGUUCUUAAACGUCUUACAAACAUCGAACAGCAACAGUUCUAAGUUUUGUUUUUGCUACAAAUGAAAUGAGUUAUAAGUUCUUAAACCUUUCAAAUGUUAACAAAGCUUACCUGUAAUCUUUGCAAUAUUUGAUCAAGUAAGAUUUGCAAAUCCCGAGCUUGGGAUAAGAAAUUUGCUAAACAUUAAAAUAUAACCAAGGA